rnacentral:rRNA from 1 species
ACGAACGCUGGCGGCGUGCCUAAUACAUGCCAGUUGAGCGCUGAAGGUUGGUACUUGUACCGACUGGAUGAGCAGCGAACGGGUGAGUAACGCGUGGGGAAUCUGCCUUUGAGCGGGGGACAACAUUUGGAAACGAAUGCUAAUACCGCAUAAAAACUUUAAACACAAGUUUUAAGUUUGAAAGAUGCAAUUGCAUCACUCAAAGAUGAUCCCGCGUUGUAUUAGCUAGUUGGUGAGGUAAAGGCUCACCAAGGCGAUGAUACAUAGCCGACCUGAGAGGGUGAUCGGCCACAAUGGGACUUGGACACGGCCCAAACUCCUACGGGAGGCAGCAGUAGGGAAUCUUCGGCAAUUGACGAAAGUCUGACCGAGCAACGCCGCGUGAGUGAAGAAGGUUUUCGGAUCGUAAAACUCUGUUGGUAGGGAAGAACGUUGGUGAGAGUGGAAAGCUCAUCAAGUGACGGUAACUACCCAGAAAGGGACGGCUAACUACGUG